rfam:Candidatus Atribacteria bacterium CG2_30_33_13 cg2_3.0_scaffold_2346_c, whole genome shotgun sequence.
GGGCCGUUAGCUCAGUUGGUAGAGCAUCUGACUCUUAAUCAGGGGGUCGUGGGUUCGAAACCCGCACGGCCCA